GGAGCAACGCCGCGUGAGUGAAGAAGGUUUUCGGAUCGUAAAACUCUGUUGUAAGGGAAGAACAAGUACGGUAGUAACUGGCCGUACCUUGACGGUACCUUAUUAGAAAGCCACGGCUAACUACGUGCCAGCAGCCGCGGUAAUACGUAGGUGGCAAGCGUUGUCCGGAAUUAUUGGGCGUAAAGCGCGCGCAGGCGGUCCUUUAAGUCUGAUGUGAAAGCCCACGGCUCAACCGUGGAAGGUCAUUGGAAACUGGGGGACUUGAGUGCAGAAGAGGUUAGUGGAAUUCCAAGUGUAGCGGUGAAAUGCGUAGAGAUUUGGAGGAACACCAGUGGCGAAGGCGACUAACUGGUCUGUAACUGACGCUGAGGCGCGAAAGCGUGGGGAGCAAACAGGAUUAGAUACCCUGGUAGUCCACGCCGUAAACGAUGAGUGCUAAGUGUUAGGGGGUUUCCGCCCCUUAGUGCUGCAGUAAACGCAUUAAGCACUCCGCCUGGGGAGUACGGCCGCAAGGCUGAAACUCAAAGGAAUUGACGGGGGCCCGCACAAGCGGUGGAGCAUGUGGU
rnacentral:rRNA from 1 species